UUAUGUUGUUUAUUUCUAACGAAACUACACUAAAAAAGGAAUCUAUACAUAUAUGGCAUGACCUCUAAUUAUCUCUGGUUAAUUUAUAGUGAAUUUCCAAAGUCAGAUCAGGGGAUCCAGAAAUCGCUCUGGCCCUGUUCCACGAAAACUUAAAUAUCUCUUAAAAUACGACUCAUAUAAUCUUUUCGUUUCUUCCAUAUGAAAGUAGAUUCAUCAAGGUUCGAUUAAAUAAUUUAUUAACUAUUUAAUUCCAU
rnacentral:lncRNA from 1 species